rnacentral:rRNA from 1 species
UACGUAGGGGGCUAGCGUUGUCCGGAUUUAUUGGGCGUAAAGAGCGUGUAGGCGGCCAUGUAGGUCCGGUGUGAAAACUCGAGGCUUAACCUCGAGAUUGCAUCGGAAACCAUUUGGCUAGAGUCCGGAAGAGGAGAGUGGAAUUCCUGGUGUAGCGGUGAAAUGCGCAGAUAUCAGGAAGAACACCAAUGGCGAAAGCAGCUCUCUGGGACGGUACUGACGCUGAGACGCGAAAGCGUGGGGAGCGAACAGG